rnacentral:rRNA from 1 species
UACGUAGGGGGCAAGCGUUGUCCGGAAUCAUUGGGCGUAAAGCGCGCGUAGGCGGCCCUGUAAGUCCGUUGUGAAAGUCGAAGGCUCAACCUUCGAAAGCCGAUGGAUACUGCAGGGCUAGAGUCCGGAAGAGGCGAGUGGAAUUCCUGGUGUAGCGGUGGAAUGCGUAGAUAUCAGGAGGAACACCGGUGGCGAAGGCGGCUCUCUGGACCACAACUGACGCUGAGGCGCGAAAGCUAGGGGAGCAAACAGG